rnacentral:rRNA from 1 species
AUUGAACGCUGGCGGCAUGCCUUACACAUGCAAGUCGAACGGCAGCACGGGUGCUUGCACCUGGUGGCGAGUGGCGAACGGGUGAGUAAUACAUCGGAACAUGUCCUGUAGUGGGGGAUAGCCCGGCGAAAGCCGGAUUAAUACCGCAUACGAUCCACGGAUGAAAGCGGGGGACCUUCGGGCCUCGCGCUAUAGGGUUGGCCGAUGGCUGAUUAGCUAGUUGGUGGGGUAAAGGCCUACCAAGGCGACGAUCAGUAGCUGGUCUGAGAGGACGACCAGCCACACUGGGACUGAGACACGGCCCAGACUCCUACGGGAGGCAGCAGUGGGGAAUUUUGGACAAUGGGCGAAAGCCUGAUCCAGCAAUGCUGCGUGUGUGAAGAAGGCCUUCGGGUUGUAAAGCACUUUUGUCCGGAAAGAAAUCCUUGACUCUAAUACAGUCGGGGGAUGACGGUACCGGAAGAAUAAGCACCGGCUAACUACGUG